rnacentral:rRNA from 1 species
GCCGACCUUGAAAUACCACCCUUUAAUGUUUGAUGUUCUAACGUUGACCCGUAAUCCGGGUUGCGGACAGUGUCUGGUGGGUAGUUUGACUGGGGCGGUCUCCUCCUAAAGAGUAACGGAGGAGCACGAAGGUUGGCUAAUCCUGGUCGGACAUCAGGAGGUUAGUGCAAUGGCAUAAGCCAGCUUGACUGCGAGCGUGACGGCGCGAGCAGGUGCGAAAGCAGGUCAUAGUGAUCCGGUGGUUCUGAAUGGAAGGGCCAUCGCUCAACGGAUAAAAGGUACUCCGGGGAUAACAGGCUGAUACCGCCCAAGAGUUCAUAUCGACGGCGGUGUUUGGCACCUCGAUGUCGGCUCAUCACAUCCUGGGGCUGAAGUAGGUCCCAAGGGUAUGGCUGUUCGCCAUUUAAAGUGGUACGCGAGCUGGGUUUAGAACGUCGUGAGACAGUUCGGUCCCUAUCUGCCGUGGGCGCUGGAGAACUGAGGGGGGCUGCUCCUAGUACGAGAGGACCGGAGUGGACGCAUCACUGGUGUUCGGGUUGUCAUGCCAAUGGCACUGCCCGGUAGCUAAAUGCGGAAGAGAUAAGUGCUGAAAGCAUCUAAGCACGAAACUUGCC